UAAGCUUUAGUUUAUAAAAAAAUUUUUGACUGUUAAUCAAAUGAAACUUUUAAAGUAGGCUUAG
rnacentral:tRNA from 1 species